AACGUAGGUGGCGAGCGUUAUCCGGAUUUACUGGGCGUAAAACGCGUGCAGGCGGUCUGGUAAGUCGGGCGUGAAAUCUCUCGGCUCAACCGAGAGGGGUCGUCCGGAACUGCCGGACUUGAGGGCAGUAGAGGAAGGUGGAAUUCCCGGUGUAGUGGUGAAAUGCGUAGAUAUCGGGAGGAACACCAGUGGCGAAGGCGGCCUUCUGGGCUGCCCCUGACGCUCAGACGCGAAAGCUAGGGGAGCGAACGGG
rnacentral:rRNA from 1 species